rnacentral:rRNA from 1 species
CCUACGGGGUGCAGCAGUAGGGAAUAUUGCUCAAUGGGGGAAACCCUGAAGCAGCAACGCCGCGUGGAGGAUGAAGGUUUUCGGAUUGGAAAAUUGUUUUGUUAGAGAAGAUAAUGACGGUACGUAACGAAUAAUCACCGGCUAACAUCGAUCCAGAAGCGCCGGUAAUACGGAGGGUGCAGGCGUAAUUCGGAAUAACUGGGCGUAAAGAGCGCGUAGGCGGGAUAGCAAGUCAGAUGUGAAAUCCUAUGGCUUAACCAUGGAACUGCAUUUGAAACUGUUAUUCUAGAGUAUGGGAGAGGUAGGUGGAAUUCUUGGUGUAGGGGUAAAAUCCGUAGAGAUCAAGAAGAAUACUCAUUGCGAAGGCGACCUGCUAGAGCAUAACUGACGCUGAUGCGCGAAAGCGUGGGGAGCAAACAGGAUUAGAUACCCGGGUAGUC